GGAAAGCGGUAGAUCACUAUGGCUUCUGUACCGUGAAAUGAAGUUUAUGAUAAAUAAAAUACUGCUGCUUGCUGGUCACUGAUUGAAGAUCGUUAAUUGGCUACCAUUGGCCAAUCUCACCAACGGAAUGUAAUAAGAACUGAUGCAGGUUUAUACUUAUAUGUAUUGUCUAUUCGGAACAAAGUUAGUACGCUUUUUAAACCGAUGUUGGAUUUUUCUCGAGAUACAGGCAACCCACUUAACUUUGGAAGUAGUGCGCUGGAUUCGUCUAAAGAUAUGCUAAACAACCGGAGGAAAAUAAAAUAAUUUGUAAAACAAUUAAUUGUAUUGUAUUUUUAUUGUAAUAUUGAAGUAUAAUGUAUUCUAAAUCCUGUUGUAUUUCUAUUGUAAAACAAUAGAAACAGUAAUUGAAAACAUUUAAAACACAAUGUUUUCUAUUGUUUUGUCGCUCGAAAUCAUCCCAUUGAAGAACCGUAAAAUCAAUUGUUUUGCUCCGAAUUUUGUAUGGAAAAUUUUCGAUUUUUUUAUUGUAAAGAUACAUAACAACCCCCCUUUUUAAUUGUAAAAGUCCCAUUUACCAUUCAUUUUAUCGUGGAAAACCAU